rnacentral:rRNA from 1 species
AUGGACGGCGUGGUGGUGGUGUUCGACUUCGACAAGACCAUCAUCGACGUCGACAGCGACAACUGGGUCGUCGACGGCCUCGGCGCCACGGAGCUCUUCGACCGCCUCCUGCCCACCAUGCCGUGGAACACCCUCAUCGACACCGUCAUGGGGGAGCUGCACGCGCAGGGCAGGACCCUCCGCGACGUCGCCGACGUGCUCCGUGCCGCGCCCAUCGACCCGCACGUCGUCGCCGCCAUCAGGGCCGCCCACAGCCUCGGUUGCGACCUCCGGGUCCUCAGCGACGCCAACCGCUUCUUCAUCGAGGCCGUCCUCGACCACCACGGCCUCCGGGGCUGCUUCUCCGAGAUCAACACCAACCCCAGCCGCGUCGACGCCGACGGCCGCCUCCGCAUCGCGCCGCACCACGACUUCCACGCCGGCCCGCACGGCUGCGGCCUCGGCACAUGCCCGCCCAACAUGUGCAAGGGCCAGGUGCUCGACCGCAUCCGCGCCUCCGCCGCGGCGGACGGCGGCAGGAAGCGCUUCAUCUACCUCGGCGACGGCCGCGGUGACUACUGCCCGUCUCUGCGGCUCGCCAGGGAGGACUUCAUGAUGCCGCGCAAGGGGUUCCCCGUGUGGGACCUCAUCUGCGAGAACCCGGGCCUGCUCCAGGCCGAGGUGCACCCGUGGAGCGAUGGCAAGGACAUGGAGGAGACGCUGCUGCGGCUCAUCAGCCGGGUGCUCGUCGAGGAGAGCACACUGCUGCCGCUCGACUGCAAGCUCGAGUCGCUGCCGGUGGCCGUCCACGACGGCAUGCCCAUGCCGCUCGGCGUCAAGAACUGA